AGACGACUGUGGGACACACAACCUUGCGUGAGAUAACUCGCCAACUGGACUGAUUGAUUGUUAAAAAUAUUUUCAACUGAUCCUUCACUUACCCGCCCCCUCAGAGAGCCCGCACUGUCGGCGCACAGAAACAGCGAUGACCUCUGACCUUUAAUGGCGAUGUGGCCCGGCUGCACCGACUGUAACUGCAGCACACCUGUGAACGUUCAUGCACAAACGUGAAGGUCUCCAAUGAUUCAUGAAUCCAUUCAUUUUUUUUAGCAGAGAUUCAAACGCUGAGUUGCGAAAGGCAACACUUACCGUAAGGAGUCUGAACGUCGCUACCAGACACGCUUCCAUCCUGGCUUAUCUGUAAGUACAUUCCUCGUCUGUGAUUUUCUGCAAAAGUAAGAAGCCAAAACAAAUAAGCCUGACCGUACCAUGCUGUGUAUCAAAUUGGGCCUCAUCUGAAAUACUGUACCUGUGUAAAGAUGCACCUCCCUGACUUGACCGUUAAAGGCUAAAAGUGGGUUGGAGUCAGCAAGAUAGAAACACAAAGAGACGCGAAGUAGGAUUGCAAGGAGAAAAAAGUACCCAAAAGUCUUGUUUGCCGACCAAAACAUUUGGAGACAGAGAAAAUGUCACAGUUACUGUACUCUUGAUAAAUAAAAUAAUAAAUAUAAAUACAAAAAUAAUUUAUAAAUAAAUUACAAAGAAUAAGGCAAGAAGAACAAACUUAAAUAAGAAAUAUUGUGGCUCCUGGAAUGUAAGUUCUGGCUUUUAAAACCAAAGAACUUUGUGCGUUUAUAAAGGAGCCGGAGGAGGGUCCAUCAUGACUCACUUAUAAAGUGAUUUAAUGCUGAGCGGAACUUCUACGUCUAUAUUUGGCCCUUUUCCUUGUUUGGAUUUCUGAAGAAGAUUCAGUAUCCGUAAAAACACUUGUGCAGCAUGUUUUAUUCAACAUAUUUCUUCAUUUUAUCAAAACCAUUUUACUGGAUUUUGUUUUAACACAUACACUAGAGUUGACAGAAUGAUUUUAUCGUUUGUUGUCUGCAACGAGUAAAGAAAAGUCUUCUUUAUACAACAGUAGGAGAAUAUAGCACGAGACCCAAAAGCAAAAAAACAGCUUGUGUCUCUGGGAUUUCCAGAAGUUGUCACCAAGUGCAUUAGUGACCAGGAGAUGGCGACAGCGAGGCGCCUGAAGACAAUGUACUGUUCUGUAAUAAUAUAUGUUGCCGUAAUUUAUGGCACGGGAUGUAUUUUUAUUCUGUGCCCUGAAAGCAAACAUUUCCAGGGUAAGCCAAAGCAGUCACCAUAAAAGGCCGUUGGGUGGCGCCAGUGUGCAAAGUGCGGCUCGCCCAGCAAGUGUAGAAGAAGGUUGUCUUGGAUUGGGGACGUGACGUCAGGCAUUCAGAGAGGAGUUAUCAAAUACAGGUGAAGCAAGAUGGCGGACGACAGUGGCAUUCUCUCAGGAUUUCCGUCCUUGGAGGACGCAGUAGCGUUUGAGGUUUGAGCACACUCGCGGUGCCUCCCUCCACCUGUCGGAUCACCAGCUUCCUGACCAACUGGAGACAGCAUGUGAGGCUGGAGACCAUUACAUCCGACACCCGGACCACCCAUACUGGCGUCCUC